rnacentral:lncRNA from 1 species
UGCCUUCACCCUGUCCACAUUUGGACAAGUCUAUUUCUAUGAGAUGAUGCAUCUUACGGACUGAUGACAAAUAAGGUAAACGAACUUAUUGUGUAAUUGGUUUUAAACACAAGUUUCGUUCCGCAAAAUUAUUUGCGCAAACGACAUUUCAAGGUCAGUUAUAAUUGAUUUGUCUAUAUUUAGAAACGUAAACUGGAAGGGGUUUUUUUCACACCAGAAAGUGUUGUCAAUUUUGUUAGUGAUUAAUGCAUUUCAUUUCAGGAAAAAAAAAUAUUUUAAUUAUUUUUCAGGGAUAAUGCAUUUGUUAAGGUCGGCGGGAAUAAAAAAGCGUGAAAAGUGAAUUUUAUUUUUAUUCUGGAAAUCAGCAAAAUCGGGUCGGCGGAUCCGUAAACCAAUAAAUUAAAAAAUCCUGGCCUAAAGGGCCCCAAAAAUUACUAGUGUAAAACCAUUCAAACAGGAAAACCAACAGUCUAAUCUGUAUAAAAACAAGAAACGAGUAUGAACUACAUAAACAGACGACAACUACAAUGUCUACUUUCAUAAAUCUUGUCUGCCAGUCUGAUGGCAAUUUAAAUCAACAAUGUAUUUAAUUAUUUUUUUUUAUAUAAAAAUUGAAUAGCAUCAAUUUGUUUCAUUAACAGUAACAACACAAUAACAAUAAAAAUUUUAAACAUAACAUUUACAUGUACAAAUUUGUCUGUAUUUUACCCUUAUUAUUUUAAAAUAUCUUUUUUGCUUGUUAAAGUUAAAAAUCUCCAAACCAUGUAUUGAAAAUAUUGAAGACAUGCUUUUGCUGAAAAUUGUUCUUUUCAGGAGAGAGUUAUGAUGCUUCUAGACUUUAACAUCUGAAUUAAAAUUUACAGUUUUUCCAUGUGUUUAUUUUUAAAAUUUCAGAAUGUAAUUGAAAACCUCUAUAUCUCCAUUCAGAAAAUUUCUUCAUGUACAUGUACAUGUAUGGACGAGAGAAGAUGCCAAAUAAAAAUUUAACCAUAAUCAAUAUUGCAGACUCUGCAAGGGCUGUAUAGAGAGAUUGUUAAAAACUUCUAUCAUCACCAUCAAUAGGUUUCUUGGUUUUUAUAAAAAUACAAUUUAUAGUCAAAACAUUGUUUGUUUACACAAUAAACAUCAACAAAUCAAUAUACAUUCAGAAUUUUUUAAACAUUAAAAAUUCAGACAUAUCUUUUUCACAGAAAACAAUGAUAUAAUUUCUGAAUAAAAACAUCUAUUUUGAGGGUCACUUCUGGAGGUUGGUAUUCCAUGGGUUUC